GCAAGGCACAUUACUUGUAUGUUAUAUAUUAUAGAUAUGUUUGCGCCAUGAAAGCGAAGCAAAAAGAUCAAAGAAUUGGUAAAGUAUAAAUUAAAAUUGACAUUAUUACCUACAUACGCUGUUUUCUAGAAACAUUCAUUAUUUGACGUCACGAAGUGGUGAUGAGGCAUCAGAAGAACCCACUUCAUAUUGGAAUGUGACCUCACAAAGGUCCAAGGGACCAUGGCGUGAAAAUGGAACGAAGAAAAGUCAGCGAAUAAAGCUGCCGAAGAAAAGCACAAGUCGAAGAACAAAGACGAAGGCGCCGAUGAAGGAUACACGGUUUGCGGUUUUAGUAUUAUAAGUUUGAGUGAUGUGUGAUGUGUGUCUUUCUGCGCUGCUCUUAUAUUCUGCUGGAUCUAAUGUCGCCAGCUAUUUUUAGUCUGUCAUCAGUCACUACUAAUGUGCAUUUCGCACGGCUUAUGAAACAUUUGCAAUCAAACUAUGGCAAACAACUUUUGGAUCAGAUUUUAUUGUUGUACACUGUUGUGUUACUUUUACAAAGAUCGAAUCUUUCAGCGAUUUUGAUUGUCUAAUCGCUUGGUAAGACGGUAUGUUGCUGAUAGUUGGUAUACUAGUACUCAGGUAAUAUCAGCACGCAGUAUAAUAGCGCAUAAUUAGCAUCCAUAAUUUAUAUUUAAUUCUGUAAAACAAACUUCUCGACCCCGAUAAAAUAAUUGUAAUACAAACGUCAUGUAGCGUGAUUGCGACGAUGGCCACGUCACAAUUACGCUACGGCGUCAAUACGGUGGGUCAGAGCAUUGCCAUGACCCUGCGUUCGGUGCGGUUAUGUCACGUCGAUUGAGUUACAUUAUGAUCAGGUUGAUGCGUGAAGGUCGCCGCCAAUUUCGUAGCGAUCGAUACGGUGCGUAACAACCGGACGGUAUUAUAUUGUGUGAAGAUACGACGAGAGUAUCGCGAUACCAACAUGUCGACUUACCUUUUAAUUGGGACAUUCGA